rnacentral:rRNA from 1 species
GAUGAACGCUAGCGGCAGGCCUAACACAUGCAAGUCGAGGGGUAGAGUUAGCUUGCUAACUUGAGACCGGCGCACGGGUGCGUAACGCGUAUGCAAUCUACCUUGUACAGAGGGAUAGCCCAGAGAAAUUUGGAUUAAUACCUCAUAGUAUCUUUACCUGGCAUCGGGUAAUUAUUAAAGUUCCAACGGUACAAGAUGAGCAUGCGUCCCAUUAGUUAGUUGGUAAGGUAACGGCUUACCAAGACAAUGAUGGGUAGGGGUCCUGAGAGGGAGAUCCCCCANACUGGUACUGAGACACGGACCAGACUCCUACGGGAGGCAGCAGUGAGGAAUAUUGGUCAAUGGACGCAAGUCUGAACCAGCCAUGCCGCGUGCAGGAAGACGGUCCUAUGGAUUGUAAACUGCUUUUGUACGGGAAGAAACACCCCCUCGUGAGGGGGCUUGACGGUACCGUAAGAUAAGGAUCGGCUAACUCCGUGCCAGCAGCCACGGUAAUGUGACU